CGGCCACAUCACGUUGAAAACCGGUUCCCGUACGAUCUCCGAAGUUAAGCAAUGUCGAGACUUGUAAGUACCUAGAUUGGUAACCGUUUGUGAAUACAAGGUGAUGUAA